rnacentral:rRNA from 1 species
UACGUAGGGGCAAGCGUUGUCCGGAAUCAUUGGGCGUAAGCGCGUGUAGGCGGUCCGGUAAGUCCGCUGUGAAAGUCGGGGCUUAACCCUCGGAUGCCGGUGGAUACUGUCGGGCUUGAGUACGGAAGAGGCGAGUGGAAUUCCUGGUGGUAGCGGUGAAAUGCGCAGAUAGUCAGGAGGAACACCAAUUGCGAAGGCAGCUCCGCUGGGACGUUACUGACGCUGAGACGCGAAGCGUGGGGAGCAAACAGG